CAGUAGCCGCGGUAAUACGUAGGGGGCGAGCGUUGUCCGGAAUUAUUGGGCGUAAAGCGCGUGUAGGCGGCUCAGCAAGUCCGCUCUGAAAGUCCAGGGCUCAACCCUGGGAUGCCGGUGGAUACUGUCGAGCUCGAGUCCGGAAGAGGCGAGUGGAAUUCCUGGUGUAGCGGUGAAAUGCGCAGAUAUCAGGAGGAACACCAAUGGCGAAGGCAGCUCGCUGGGACGUGACUGACGCUGAGACGCGAAAGCGUGGGGAGCAAACAGGAUUAGAGACCCGCGUAGUCCCUGUCUCUUAUAC
rnacentral:rRNA from 1 species